UGGAAUCAGGGAGCAGCUCUGGGAAGGGUUACCAUACAUCCAAGUUUUCCUGGACAUGUCUUCUUUUUGGAUCCUCUGAUCUCUGUCCGGGCAGUUUGUUGACACAUGAACAAAUGUCUGGGAUUUUGCGGGUAAAACUGCAUUUCCCGGCUU